GAGACUGUCAGUAACAGUGGUUUCAAUGAAUUUAAUAGCUACAGCAAGAUGGCGCAGAAAUACCUGGUGACGUUAAUGUUGGUGACGCUACUGGCCUUCCCCUGCUGUGUGGCUGAUGAUGACGACAUACUGACGGGGAUAAAGAGCCAGUUGAGUACCAUCGCCACCACCUUGAAGGACCUCAUGAAUAUUGUCAUACCAUCCACCACCACUCAACCCCCAACU